rnacentral:rRNA from 1 species
UACGAAGGGUGCAAACGUUGCUCGGAAUCAUUGGGGCGUAAAGCGCACGUAGGCGGCCCCAAAAGUUGGAUGUGAAAUCCCUCGGCUCAACCGAGGACGUGCAUCCAAAACUGUGGGGCUUGAGUACUGAAGAGGAUCGCGGAAUUCCCGGUGUAGAGGUGAAAUUCGUAGAUAUCGGGAGGAACACCAGUGGCGAAGGCGGCGAUCUGGGCAGAUACUGACGCUGAGGUGCGAAAGCGUGGGGAGCAAACAGG